AUUGAACGCUGGCGCGUGCUUAACACAUGCAAGUCGAACGCGAAAGGGACUUCGGUCCUGAGUAAAGUGGCGCACGGGUGAGUAACGCGCGGAUAAUCUGCCCUUAUGAUCGGGAUAACAGUUGGAAACGGCUGCUAAUACCGGAUACGCUCAAAAUGAACUUUUUGAGGAAAGAUGGCCUCUGCUUGCAUGCUAUCGCGUAAGGAUGAGUCCGCGUCCAUUAGCUUGUGGCGGGUAACGGCCCACCAAGGCAACGAUGGGUAGCCGAUUUGAGAGGAUGAUCGGCCACACUGGAACUGAAACACGGUCCAGACUCCUACGGGAGGCAGCAGUGGGGAAUAUUGCGCAAUGGGCGAAAGCCUGACGCAGCGACGCCGCGUGAGGGAUGAAAGGUUUUCGGAUCGUAAACCUCUGUCAGAAGGGAAGAAACUACAUUGUGCUAAUCAGCAGUGUACUGACGGUACCUUCAAAGGAAGCACCGGCUAACUCCGUGCCAGCAGCUGC
rnacentral:rRNA from 1 species